GGUUGUGGCUCAGUGGUAGAGCACUCGCCUGGCACAUGCGAGGCCCCUGGGUUCAAUCCUCAGCACCA
rnacentral:tRNA from 1 species